UGAUGCUGAAAAUACAGCUUUGAUCACAGAAAUAAAUUACAUUUUAAAAUAUAGUUAAAUAGAAACCAGUAAUUUUAAUUUGUAAUAAUAUAUCACAAUUUUACAGUUUUUACUGUAUUUUUUAUAAUCAAAUAAAUGCAGGCUUUGUGAGCAUAAAAUAUGCUUUAAAUAAAUAAAUCAUGAUUUUUCCAAACGUUUGGCAACAUCUCAUUUGUUGGUUUGAUUUGUUUAGACUGAAGCUGCGCUAUCAAGCGUCAUGCCGGGGAUCACACGUCGGCCCAGCGCCGCCGGAGGGAAGAGACUCACUCAGCACCAGACUGUCUUUGUUUAGCUCUUACAGACAAUGAAUCUGACCACAAACCUGUCCUUCAUCGUGUCUGGAAGUUUGAAAGACCGAAGGAAAUGAGAUGUGACAUUCAUGUGAUCAAGAGCCCAUUAACCCUACAUUUAAAGGACACUAAAAGAGACUGAUGAAUUAAGCAGGAUGAGAAGGUUUCAGCCAGCAGUGUUUUCUUGUACUUCAGUUCAGUCAUAAAACAGAGCUGUAAUCAAAUGCUCUCACUUCAGUGGAAACUUCUCUCAUAAUGAGACUUUUUAUGUGACACACACACUUGUGGGGCCUGGGUGGUAAUUGGACUGGAGAUUUGCAUAGCGAUUAAUGAGAGCUGGCUGGUGAUCAUAUGCAUGAGAUGAUCAGGAAGCUGAAAUCAGUGUCUUUGGGUUUUCGAAGCCUGAAUAACUUUUGCAUUUCCCAAUGCCUCCUAAAACACUUGACAUUUUGCCAUUUUUUUAUUGGAAAGGUUGGAGAGCUGUGGUGCUUGUUUGGAUGGUGCAAGUCUUCAAAGUCAGACUGGGAAUUUCUGGAUGUAUCUGGAGUCCAAAUAUUUCAGGCAGAAGUACAUAGUGAGUUAUGUCUGCGAUACUUUGGACGUUUUUCCAGACACUCUGCUUUUCAGAUCUACAAUCUGUUCUGGUAAUGCAAAACUGGUGUAAUUCACUGUAAAACAUCUCUAUUUUCACGUAAAGGAUAGAAUGACACUUAUCCUUCAGAAACAGCCACAAUAGAUUGACAAGG
ensembl:lncRNA